AUCUAGCCAACAAGUCCCAAAUAGGACGAAACGUGCGUCUUGAAU
rnacentral:hammerhead_ribozyme from 1 species